rnacentral:rRNA from 1 species
UACGAGGGGGGCGAGCGUUGUUCGGAAUUAUUGGGCGUAAAGGGUGCGUAGGCGGUUCCGCAAGUCCUGUGUGAAAUCUUCGGGCUCAACUCGAAGUCUGCACGGGAAACUGCGGGGCUUGAGUGUGGGAGAGGUGAGUGGAAUUCCCGGUGUAGCGGUGAAAUGCGCAGAUAUCAGGAAGAACACCCGUGGCUAAGGCGGCUCUCUAGUACGGUACUGGACGCUGAGACGCGAAAGCGUGGGGAGCGAACAGG